rnacentral:rRNA from 1 species
UACAGAGGUGGCAAGCGUUGUUCGGAAUUACUGGGCGUAAAGGGCGCGUAGGCGGCCUUCUAAGUCAGACGUGAAAUCCCCCGGCUUAACCUGGGAACUGCGUCUGAUACUGGAAGGCUUGAGGAUGGGAGAGGGAUGUAGAAUUCCAGGUGUAGCGGUGAAAUGCGUAGAUAUCUGGAGGAAUACCGGUGGCGAAGGCGGCAUCCUGGACCAUUACUGACGCUGAGGCGCGAAAGCUAGGGGAGCAAACGGG